UUCGUAGGUGGUAUGUUAAGUCUGGUGUUAAAGCCCGAAGCUCAACUUCGGUUCGGCACUGGAUACUGGCAAACUUGAAUGCGGUAGAGGUAAAGGGAAUUCCUGGUGUAGCGGUGAAAUGCGUAGAUAUCAGGAGGAACAUCGGUGGCGUAAGCGCUUUACUGGGCCGUAAUUGACACUGAGGAACGAAAGCCGGGGUAGCAAAUGGGAUUAGAUACCCCAGUAGUCCCGGCCGUAAACGAUGGAUACUAGGUGUUGCGGGUAUCGACCCCUGCAGUGCCAUAGCUAACGCGAUAAGUAUCCCGCCUGGGGAGUACGCACGCAAGUGUGAA
rnacentral:rRNA from 1 species